AUUGAACGCUGGCGGCAUGCCUUACACAUGCAAGUCGAACGGCAGCACGGGUGCUUGCACCUGGUGGCGAGUGGCGAACGGGUGAGUAAUACAUCGGAACGUACCUUAUCGUGGGGGAUAACGCAGUGAAAGUUACGCUAAUACCGCAUACGCCCUGCGGGGGCAAGAGGGGGGCCGUAAGUCCUCGCGCGAUCAGAGCGGUCGAUGUCUGAUUAGCUUGUUGGUGAGGUAAAAGCUCACCAAGGCGAUGAUCAGUAGCUGGUCUGCUAGGAAGAUCAGCCACACUAGGACUGAGACACGGCCCAGACUCCUACGGGAGGCAGCAGUGGGGAAUUUUGGACAAUGGGGGCAACCCUGUUCCAGCAAUGCCGCGUGAGUGAAGAAGGCCUUCGGGUUGUAAAGCUCUUUUGUCAGGGAAGAAACAGCAGCUCUAACACAGUCUGCGAAUGACGGUACCUGAAGAAUAAGCACCGGCUAACUACGUGCCAGCAGCCGCCGUAA
rnacentral:rRNA from 1 species